rnacentral:rRNA from 1 species
UACGAAGGUGGCGAAUGUUGCUCGGAUUCACUGGGCGUAAAGCGUCGGUAGGAGGCUGUUUAAGUCAGGUGUGAAAGCCCCGCGCUCAACGUGGGAAUUGCACUUGAAACUAGACAGCUUGAAGGUAUGAGAGGAUGGCGGAAUAACUGGUGUAGAGGUAAAAUUCAUAGAUAUCAGUUGGAACACCCAUGGCGAAGGCAGCUAUCUGGCAUAUUCUUGACUCUGAGCGACGACAGCGUGGGGAGCAAACAGG